UUGUUCUGAUGCAAAACCAUAAAAACAAAGUCACGUGAUAAUUUUUGGGCGAGCGAAUUAUUAAGAGCCACAGCCAGCACGCCGUUUUAAAGCGAUGCCGAUAAGAUUAAAAAACUCACGUGGAGUUUAUCAGAUUUCAGUGAACAGAAGUACGGUACCGUAGAGGAUCAUAAGGACUUAUUCAAGAAACUAAUUCCUAACUUUAGUCAAUCUUGUGAAGACUGACAUAUCCUACCCUAGAUUAUCAGGAUUCACUUAGACAGAAAGAGAGGAUCAAAACAAUCUAGUCAAUUUAAACAAUCUAUCAACACCAGUGACUGAAUUUUACGAAAAUUUAAAAACGGUUCUGAGAGGAAAACUAUUUCCUAAAUCCUAACUGCAAUCUAUCUUCUGAAGACUGAUCUUACCUACUCCAGAAUACGACAGCCAGCACGUCAUUUUAAAGCGAUAAGAUUAAGAGACUCUCGUGAAGUAUAUCAGAUUUCAGUGGACAGAAGUAAAGGUUCAAAACAACUUGUUCAAGCAACUACUUCCUACCUGUAGUCAAUCUUGUGAAGACUCUACCCUAGGCCCAUUUUAUCAAGAUUCAGUACACAGAAAGAGAGGAUCAAACCAACUCAGACAAUCUAAGCAGUCUCUCACCACCAGGGCAAGAAAGAAAGACGCCACUUGCACUGAAACCAACCUCGGACACACUAUUCUAUUUCAAGAUAUAUUAACUAAUCAACAAUGAAUAAAUAUUUGGAAAAUGGCAAACAAAUAUUCGAAGAAUACUGCUCAACGGCUGGAAACCAGCCCACGAUGCUUCCAAGAACACCAGAACAAACCUACGUAGAUAGAUAUCCAGACGAGAAUCAACCUGGUUCCAGCUUUACAGACGACAAACGACAUCAGUCAGACUACGAGACUGAAGUCAAAAUGUAUAGGGCUUUAGAAUUAGGAUUAGACGGAAAAUUUAUUGUUCUUCACAGUUUUUGGUACACACACGAUCAGUAUUGUCUGUGUGCAGGUAAAAGUCAUGUUAGGGACAAAAAGAAGUGUAACAAGUGCAAGAAUCCGUUUAAUAAGGAGGGUGAGUGCGACUUCAUUAUUAUUUGUCCGGACAGUUUUAUCAUUAUCGAGGUAAAGAACAUGGAGAAUAUUAAUGGAGAGUGUACGACUAGAAAAUUGGAGGCAUUGAUUGGUACGUACAGGAAGUCAGCAGAACAGAGAAAAAAGGUAGUGGAACUGAUCAGAUUUAUUGACAAGGACGCAACUAUUCUUCAAUUCACAGCGUACCCUAAUUUUAGUAAGCAGUUUAAAGAACAGUUUCAAUUUAGUGAAAAAACAGAACUCCGGUUAAGUGAUGAUGAAUUGUCGACUAUCAUUUUUCAAGAGGACUUGUCUGAUAGUCACAACAAAUUUAAACAAAACUAUUUUUUUCGUUUAUUAAGCUGCUUUUCUCGCUGCUGCAAUAAAGCCACUGAUACAGAUGAGAAUUUAUCUACUUUUAAUGCUUGGUGGGCAGACAAUGUAACUCAGGCCAUACCAUCUGUUGGAAGAGCUUCUGAAGAAACAGUAUCAAAUACGGAAAUACCAAUAUCUGGAUACAAUCAAGAUUAUCAUGAGAAAGCAAGGAACAUUUUGUUAGCCAUAUGGGCCACAGAGAGAAACAAAUGUGAUCAAUCUAAGUGCAGUUUAGGACGUUGUAUUAUGGAUGUCAACAAGCAACUUAAGGAAGGACACAUAACUUUCGAGCCUAAGAAAGGUAAAAAACGUGACAAAAUCCCGGGGUUGUAAAAGCUCCUGAUGUCAUAAGCAAAUACGUUGGGGUUCUCAAUUUAACCACACAACAAAAUAGUGUGUUUAAUUCAAGUGAGAAUAUGUUGUGGAUCAAUGGACCCGCAGGGGCGGGAAAAACUGUCAUAUUGUGUGGUAAGAUAAUACAACUUAUACAAUCUGAUAGUGACAAUAAAGUAGUUGUAUUUAAGUUUACUGGAGAAGGGAACAAUUCACAGCAUUAUCAAGAUGCAUUGGAUAAAGCUAGUAUAGCAUAUGAACUGAUAAGCACUUGUGAUAAUGAACACACUCCCGCACAACUAGCUGAUCUGAUUACAGAGAGUUCGUGUAGUGUUAUUAUUGUGGAUAUAACAGGUUAUCCAAAAACCACACAGUUAACAGAUAGACUUAGUUUAUUGAGUGGUUAUCAUUUGUUUGUUGAUGAUAUACAGACAAUAAUUAGAUAUGAUAUCACAGCUGAAAUGUGGAGUGCACUGGUUAACAAGUUAUUAGAAUUAUCAGCAGAUAAGAAUGUGUGGAUAGCAUGUGAUUAUGUUCAGGGUUGGGCGAUAUUAAACACAGGUGUCAUUUCAAUCGUAGCUAAUGUUUUAACUGAUAUAUUAGCACCUCAUCAGAGUACUAAUUUAUCUAUGAACUUGAGAAAUACGUCUGAUUUAUCGAAUAUUUUAUCUGUAAUUAGAGAUGAAUUCGUUAAAUUAUGUUCUCUUAAAUCAGAUAUUUUGAAAUUAGUUUUACCUACACAAUUACCAGGACACUUUAUACACGGUACAUUACCUGUCAUACAUGUGUUUAAUGAUUUCAAUGUUACUAGUAUUAUGCAUGUAUUUAAUAAUGAAUUAGAUAGAUUAUGUACUGCUGUGCAUGGAUUAAAGCAUUCUGAUAUAGGUAUAGUUACUGAAGUCACUAGUAGUGUAUUGUCACAAGUUAAGGACAGUGUUGAUAGGAGAUGUGAUAACACUGAUAGUAAGAUUGCUGUGUGUCACAGUGAGGAUAGUUAUUCUGCUCAGUGGCCAGCUGUAAUAGUACUGCACACAGUGGGGUGGUACAGGGAGGAGGACCUGACUAACCUUUACUUAAUGUUAUCCAGACUUUACUUAGCGUUAUCCAGAGCACGUGUUUACUGCUCUGUUUUUAUAUUCCCAUUUAGGGAGGGUAGAACAUUAGACGAUUCACCUCAUAUGUUACGUUUGUUAGAUAAACUGAGUAGCUUUGCUCGUAUUAUACGGCAUUAAAUUUAAUAUUACUGUGUAAUAACGUUGGUGGGUGACUAGUUCUAUUUUUUCCUUUUCACCCUUUUGAAAAAAGGCAAUAGUGAAAGGUUACGAAUGGAGGUUUUUGCAGAAAAACGUGGAUUUUGGAGAACGAGAUAGGUGGGUUUAAAUAUGUGGUGUGUCCUUCCGUUCGUUACCAUGCAACGAAAAAGUUGCGCGCGCGCGAGGAUUGCUUGCGGAGAUGUGAUAUAUAGAUAGCCUUUGAUCUAUGAAUGCGCAGCGCGACUGUGUUUUAAUGUAUUAUAUGAUGCAUGUAAUGUAUAAUAUUACUAUUAGGUAAUACGCCCAAUUUGUACGUGGCACGCGUAGUGUAUUGAUGUGUACACGAGUAUAGUUUACCUUUGCUGAUAAUUUCUUGAAUUACAGAUACAAGUUAAGUUCUACGGCAAUUGAACUGAAUUUCAAGUGUUUCCCGUAUUUGAUGCAUAAUUUAUCAAUAUUAUUAUCAUGAAGAUUGAAGUGAGCUGAUUGGAGCUUAUACUUAAAUUUAUAGUAAAUGUGAAAUGGAAAUCUAGCGUCCGCCAAAACGAAACAACGGGCGCAAUUCUUGUUCUGAAACAUGUAUACACAAGCCUUUAAUGCUUGAACUAAUUGACGAUUGUUGAAAUUUUGACCCAGCCGGGGUUUCGAACUCGCAACCUCCGGGCUAAAGGGCCAAGACUAACCAAUUGUACUAACCAAUUGUGCCACUGAGGUGACAUUUGUACAAAUAUAUUAGGCUAGUAAUUAUGAUUUGCAGAUAAUUUCACCCAUUAACUAUUACUAUUAUUACUAUUAUUUAAUUGUGUUUCCUUUCUGAUUUAUUGCUAAAUAUUACAGUGUUUUGUAUCGAAAUGUUUUAUACAAUAAUAUGAAUGGGCCAGAAUAGACAAAGUGAUUAUAUUCGUCAUUCGUGGUUUGGAAACAACUAAAAUUACCCCAAAUAAUGAAGACUGUCAAAAUAUUAAAAACGGGACUAAUCUGCUUAAUGAUAUCUUAUUGGCUAUCAGUAUCAGUAUUUAAAUUCACUCAUAAUAGCAGAAAUAGUA